UAGUGUAGACUACCUAGGGGAGCAGU
rnacentral:piRNA from 1 species